AACAUAGGUAGCGAGCAUUAUCUUUGAUGACUGGGCGUAAAGGAUGCGUAGGCGGAUAUUAUUAAAAAUGCUUAAUAGAAAUGAUUACAUAUUAAUGUAAAUCUUAUUUCGCAAUGUUUAUCUAUGGAGAUAUAAAGAAGUUUGUGGAAGGCAAUAUGGAAAAGGGCAUUUGUCUUUAAAUAUAUUGAAUAAUAUCAAAAAGCGAAGUCAGCAAACUAGUUAUAUUCUGACGCUGAUGCAUGAAGCUUAAGGUAGCAAAAGGG
rnacentral:rRNA from 1 species